UUUUAACACGAAGUGAGUGGCGAACGGGUGAGUAACACGUGGGUAACCUGCCCAGAAGUAGGGGAUAACACUUGGAAACAGGUGCUAAUACCGUAUAAUAGAGAAAACCGCAUGGUUUUCUUUUGAAAGAUGGCUCUGCUAUCACUUCUGGAUGGACCCGCGGCGUAUUAGCUAGUUGGUGAGGUAAAGGCUCACCAAGGCAGUGAUACGUAGCCGACCUGAGAGGGUAAUCGGCCACAUUGGGACUGAGACACGGCCCAGACUCCUACGGGAGGCAGCAGUAGGGAAUCUUCCACAAUGGACGCAAGUCUGAUGGAGCAACGCCGCGUGAGUGAAGAAGGGUUUCGGCUCGUAAAACUCUGUUGUUAGAGAAGAACAUAUCUGAGAGUAACUGUUCAGGUAUUGACGGUAUUUAACCAGAAAGCCACGGCUAACUACGUGCCAGCAGCCGCGGUAAUACGUAGGUGGCAAGCGUUGUCCGGAUUUAUUGGGCGUAAAGCGAGCGCAGGCGGUUUUUUAAGUCUGAUGUGAAAGCCUUCGGCUCAACCGAAGAAGUGCAUCGGAAACUGGGAAACUUGAGUGCAGAAGAGGACAGUGGAACUCCAUGUGUAGCGGUGAAAUGCGUAGAUAUAUGGAAGAACACCAGUGGCGAAGGCGGCUGUCUGGUCUGUAACUGCCGCUGAGGCUCGAAAGUAUGGGUAGCAAA
rnacentral:rRNA from 2 species